GCGUAAAUGUCUUGUAUCCUUGGUAAGUUCAGCAAAGCAGUUCUCAUCGUACUGACCGAAGCUGAAUUUACAGCUGUGCUUUGAAAUGCUUUCAUGUCCAGUGAUACGCCACUAGAGGGUACACUAGCAUCGUUGAGGAUGCUCAGAGUUAGCUGUACUGCCUUCUUCCAGAUGGAGUCAGGCCAGGUUGGGUUACAUCUUCCACCCUGCCCCACCCAGCCAUCACGAGGCAAGGUGCCUAAGGAGGAGCGGAGCGAUAGUCCAUGGUAGCCGAAUGUCAAAAGCUGUUUGGGUUUCUGCUCCUGAAAUGCCUGCAGGAACCUAUUUUAUUUGCCUUCUCUGCAACCAAGAUCCGGGAGAGCCCCUUCAGAGUUUCUCAUCUCUGCAUAUCUUAAGGAGUGAGGAAGGUGUGUUUCCUUCCCUUUUACACUAUGAUUGCGAUCACCCUGUGGCCAGUGUACUGCAGCUCUUGUAUAAAUUUGUUAUCAUUAUGUGACGUCAAUGUGGAACUGACGUAUAGUGACCCUAACACAACCUUCAAGGAAAAUGAGCUAUGGAAGGAGUGUCUUCACCACUUCCUCUCCCCCAGUGGGUUUCCAUGGUCAAGCAAGGAUCCAAACCCUGGUUUCCAGUGUCCUGGUCUGUCACUUUAUUCAUGGCAGCACAUUUUUUGUUGAAAUACCGGGGUUGCAUUUAAGAUCAGCCCAUGUUUUGAAAACACUUGGAUUGUACAGGCGUAGAAAUGAACCCACAGUGUGGCGUUCUUGCCCCAGUGGUGACUUCGCUUUAUCCUGUUUUCACUCUGAUCUAUGUUGAAAUUUAUGGUCUGUGUAGCAGACCACACAGGCCACUGUCGGGGGGCCAUUACUGUCGGAAUGGAUCCAUACAAGCAGCCCCCGAAGGCAGUAACAGGACAAAGUCUGUGCUCAACAGUUCAGCUUGAGAAAGUAAUCAAGACACAGAACCACCUAUAUACAAGGGUUGUACAGUUGCACUAAAAAUUUAUUCCAGUAACGGGUGUAUUCCAAAUAAGUAAAUAUUAAGUGGUAAAGGAAGAACUUUUGGAAGUAGCUUUGCAAGUCUCUAAAAUUAUA